rnacentral:rRNA from 1 species
UGGGGAAUUUUGGACAAUGGGCGAAAGCCUGAUCCAGCAAUGCCGCGUGUGUGAAGAAGGCCUUCGGGUUGUAAAGCACUUUUGUCCGGAAAGAAAUCCUUGGCUCUAAUACAGCCGGGGGAUGACGGUACCGGAAGAAUAAGCACCGGCUAACUACGUGCCAGCAGCCGCGGUAAUACGUAGGGUGCAAGCGUUAAUCGGAAUUACUGGGCGUAAAGCGUGCGCAGGCGGUUUGCUAAGACCGAUGUGAAAUCCCCGGGCUCAACCUGGGAACUGCAUUGGUGACUGGCAGGCUAGAGUAUGGCAGAGGGGGGUAGAAUUCCACGUGUAGCAGUGAAAUGCGUAGAGAUGUGGAGGAAUACCGAUGGCGAAGGCAGCCCCCUGGGCCAAAUACUGACGCUCAUGCACGAAAGCGUGGGGAGCAAACAGGAUUAGAUACCCUGGUAGUCCACGCCCUAAACGAUGUCAACUAGUUGUUGGGGAUUCAUUUCCUUAGUAACGUAGCUAACGCGUGAAGUUGACCGCCUGGGGAGUACGGUCGCAAGAUU